GUGCUCGCUUUAGCAGCACAUGGACUACAAUUGGAACGAUACAAAGAACAUCAGCAUGGCCCCCGGGCAAGGAGGGCAUGCAGGGUUCGUGAAGUGUUUUGUAUGUUU
ensembl:snRNA U6 U6 spliceosomal RNA